rnacentral:rRNA from 1 species
GACGAACGCUGGCGGCGUGCCUAACACAUGCAAGUCGAACGGAACUGUUUUGAUUGAUUCUUCGGAUGAAAGAUUUUCAGUUUAGUGGCGGACGGGUGAGUAACGCGUGAGUAACCUGCCUCUGAGAGGGGAAUAACGUUCUGAAAAGAACGCUAAUACCGCAUAACACAUAAUUGCCGCAUGGUGAAUAUGUCAAAGAUUUAUCGCUCAGAGAUGGACUCGCGUCCGAUUAGUUAGUUGGUGAGGUAACGGCUCACCAAGACCGCGAUCGGUAGCCGGACUGAGAGGUUGAACGGCCACAUUGGGACUGAGACACGGCCCAGACUCCUACGGGAGGCAGCAGUGGGGGAUAUUGCGCAAUGGGGGCAACCCUGACGCAGCAACGCCGCGUGAAGGAUGAAGGUUUUCGGAUUGUAAACUUCUUUUAUCAGGGACGAAAAUUGACGGUACCUGAUGAAUAAGCUCCGGCUAACUACGUGCCAGCCGCCGCAGUAAUAC